rnacentral:lncRNA from 1 species
UCAUCUCCCAAAUCCAAAUCCAAAUCUAAAUCAGCUACUGAAAACGGGGACCUUGAAAACAAGGCUUCUAGCUUAGGAACAAGAACAUCUCGAGUUUCUUCAACAUUUGUAUUUUCAUUUUCCUUCUCUCUUUUUAUGCCCUUGAUGAUACCACCAAGUAUUCCUGGCAACCUGUUUAUUCUUCUGGCUAAGAGAGAAUUUAAGUGCAGCCUCUGCAGCUUCCGCAACAACUUUAUCAUGAAGGCGAGGUAA